rnacentral:rRNA from 1 species
UGAGUAAUAUUGGACAAUGGGCGCAAGCCUGAUCCAGCCAUGCCGCGUGAGUGAUGAAAGCCUUAGGGUUGUAAAGCUCUUUCACCGGUGACGAUAAUGACGGUAACCGGAGAAGAAGCCCCGGCUAACUUCGUGCCAGCAGCCGCGGUAAUACGAAGGGGGCUAGCGUUGUUCGGAAUUACUGGGCGUAAAGCGCGCGUAGGCGGACCGUUAAGUCGGGGGUGAAAGCCCAGAGCUCAACUCUGGAACUGCCUUCGAUACUGGCGGUCUUGAGUCCGGGAGAGGUGCGCGGAAAACCGAGUGUAGAGGUGAAAUUCGUAGAUAUUCGGUGGAACACCAGUUGCGAAGGCGGCUCACUGGCCCGGUACUGACGCUGAGGUGUGAAAGCGUGGGGAGCAAACAGGAUUAGAUACCCCCGUAGUCC